rnacentral:rRNA from 1 species
CUACGGGUCGCUGCAGCUAGGCAUCUUCUACAAUGCACGAGAGUGCGAUAGAGCGAAUCAGAGUGUUUUCCAAUUGGAAAACUUUUGCCAAAUGUAAAAAGUUUGGCGAAUAAGGACUGGGUAAGACGAGUGCCAGCCGCCGCGGUAAUACUCGCGGUCCAAGUCGCAGCCAUUUUUAUUGGGUCUAAAACAUCCGUAGCUUGCUGGAUAAGUUUUCUGUGAAAUCCUAUCUCUUAAGGGUAGGGCGGGCAGAAAGUACUAUUCAGCUAGAGACUGGAAGACGGAAAGAGUACGUUUGAAGUAGCGGUAAAAUGUGUUAAUCUCAGACGGACUAACAAUAGCGAAGGCACUUUCCGAGGACAGUUCUGACAGUGAGGGAUGAAGGCCAGGGGCGCAAAACGGAUUAGAUACCCCCGUAGUC